rnacentral:rRNA from 1 species
GUGAUUCGUCACACUAUCAUUAACUGAAUCCAUAGGUUAAUGAGGCGAACCGGGGGAACUGAAACAUCUAAGUACCCCGAGGAAAAGAAAUCAACCGAGAUUCCCCCAGUAGCGGCGAGCGAACGGGGAGGAGCCCAGAGCCUGAAUCAGUGUGUGUGUUAGUGGAAGCGUCUGGAAAGGCGCGCGAUACAGGGUGACAGCCCCGUACACAAAAAUGCACAUGCUGUGAGCUCGAUGAGUAGGGCGGGACACGUGGUAUCCUGUCUGAAUAUGGGGGGACCAUCCUCCAAGGCUAAAUACUCCUGACUGACCGAUAGUGAACCAGUACCGUGAGGGAAAGGCGAAAAGAACCCCGGCGAGGGGAGUGAAAAAGAACCUGAAACCGUGUACGUACAAGCAGUGGGAGCACAGAGCAAUCUGUGUGACUGCGUACCUUUUGUAUAAUGGGUCAGCGACUUAUAUUCUGUAGCAAGGUUAACCGAAUAGGGGAGCCGAAGGGAAACCGAGUCUUAACUGGGCGUUAAGUUGCAGGGUAUAGACCCGAAACCCGGUGAUCUAGCCAUGGGCAGGUUGAAGGUUGGGUAACACUAACUGGAGGACCGAACCGACUAAUGUUGAAAAAUUAGCGGAUGACUUGUGGCUGGGGGUGAAAGGCCAAUCAAACCGGGAGAUAGCUGGUUCUCCCCGAAAGCUAUUUAGGUAGCGCCUCGUGAAUUCAUCUCCGGGGGUAGAGCACUGUUUCGGCAAGGGGGUCAUCCCGACUUACCAACCCGAUGCAAACUGCGAAUACCGGAGAAUGUUAUCACGGGAGACACACGGCGGGUGCUAACGUCCGUCGUGAAGAGGGAAACAACCCAGACCGCCAGCUAAGGUCCCAAAGUCAUGGUUAAGUGGGAAACGAUGUGGGAAGGCCCAGACAGCCAGGAUGUUGGCUUAGAAGCAGCCAUCAUUUAAAGAAAGCGUAAUAGCUCACUGGUCGAGUCGGCCUGCGCGGAAGAUGUAACGGGGCUAAACCAUGCACCGAAGCUGCGGCAGCGACACUAUGUGUUGUUGGGUAGGGGAGCGUUCUGUAAGCCUGUGAAGGUGUGCUGUGAGGCAUGCUGGAGGUAUCAGAAGUGCGAAUGCUGACAUAAGUAACGAUAAAGCGGGUGAAAAGCCCGCUCGCCGGAAGACCAAGGGUUCCUGUCCAACGUUAAUCGGGGCAGGGUGAGUCGACCCCUAAGGCGAGGCCGAAAGGCGUAGUCGAUGGGAAACAGGUUAAUAUUCCUGUACUUGGUGUUACUGCGAAGGGGGGACGGAGAAGGCUAUGUUGGCCGGGCGACGGUUGUCCCGGUUUAAGCGUGUAGGCUGGUUUUCCAGGCAAAUCCGGAAAAUCAAGGCUGAGGCGUGAUGACGAGGCACUACGGUGCUGAAGCAACAAAUGCCCUGCUUCCAGGAAAAGCCUCUAAGCAUCAGGUAACAUCAAAUCGUACCCCAAACCGACACAGGUGGUCAGGUAGAGAAUACCAAGGCGCUUGAGAGAACUCGGGUGAAGGAACUAGGCAAAAUGGUGCCGUAACUUCGGGAGAAGGCACGCUGAUAUGUAGGUGAAGCGACUUGCUCGUGGAGCUGAAAUCAGUCGAAGAUACCAGCUGGCUGCAACUGUUUAUUAAAAACACAGCACUGUGCAAACACGAAAGUGGACGUAUACGGUGUGACGCCUGCCCGGUGCCGGAAGGUUAAUUGAUGGGGUCAGCGCAAGCGAAGCUCUUGAUCGAAGCCCCGGUAAACGGCGGCCGUAACUAUAACGGUCCUAAGGUAGCGAAAUUCCUUGUCGGGUAAGUUCCGACCUGCACGAAUGGCGUAAUGAUGGCCAGGCUGUCUCCACCCGAGACUCAGUGAAAUUGAACUCGCUGUGAAGAUGCAGUGUACCCGCGGCAAGACGGAAAGACCCCGUGAACCUUUACUAUAGCUUGACACUGAACAUUGAGCCUUGAUGUGUAGGAUAGGUGGGAGGCUU